rnacentral:rRNA from 2 species
UUUUAUGAGAGUUUGAUCCUGGCUCAGGACGAACGCUGGCGGCGUGCCUAAUACAUGCAAGUCGAACGCUUCUUUUUCCACCGGAGCUUGCUCCACCGGAAAAAGAGGAGUGGCGAACGGGUGAGUAACACGUGGGUAACCUGCCCAUCAGAAGGGGAUAACACUUGGAAACAGGUGCUAAUACCGUAUAACAAUCGAAACCGCAUGGUUUUGAUUUGAAAGGCGCUUUCGGGUGUCGCUGAUGGAUGGACCCGCGGUGCAUUAGCUAGUUGGUGAGGUAA